rnacentral:RNase_P_RNA from 1 species
UCAGACGGCCGGGCGGUCGCGGUCCUCGCCCGAAAGGGCUGGGAUCGAGGAAAGUCCGGGCUCCACGGCGAAUAGGCGGCGGGUAACGCCCGCCGGGGGCGACCCCAGGGAAAGCGCCACAGAAAGCAAACCGCCACAAGGGCUUAGGUCCUUGUGGUAAGGGUGAAAGGGUGGGGUAAGAGCCCACCGCGGACCCGGCGACGGGGACGGCAUGGCAAGCCCCGCCUGGAGCAAGACCGAAUAGGGACGUCGCGCCGAGGCUCGCCUCGGCAGGGCUUCGCCGGCCCGAGGCGUCCGGGUUGGUCGCGAGAACCGUCCAGCAAUGGCCGGUCCAGAGGAAUGACCGCCGCGCCCUUUUCGGGGCGGCACAGAACCCGGCUUACAGGCCGUCUGAUCCG